rnacentral:rRNA from 1 species
UAAGCUUGCUAUAAAGAAUAGUUAUUGGCAGACGGGUGAGUAAUGCAUAGGAAUCUACCUAGUAGUAUGGGAUAGCCACUAGAAAUGGUGGGUAAUACUGUAUAAUCCCUGCGGGGGAAAGAUUUAUCGCUAUUAGAUGAGCCUAUGUUAGAUUAGCUAGUUGGUAGGGUAAAGGCCUACCAAGGCGAUGAUCUAUAGCUGGUCUGAGAGGAUGAUCAGCCACACUGGAACUGAGAUACGGUCCAGACUCCUACGGGAGGCAGCAGUGGGGAAUAUUGGACAAUGGGCGCAAGCCUGAUCCAGCUAUGCCGCGUGAGUGAGGAAGGCCUUAGGGUUGUAAAACUCUUUCAGUAGGGAAGAUAAUGACGGUACCUACAGAACAAGUCCCGGCCAAACCCCGUUGCCAGCAGCCGCGGUAAUACGGAGGGGGCAAGCGUUGUUCGGAAUUAUUGAGCGUAAAGGGCAUGUAGGCGGGACGUAAGUAAAGUGAAUGCCAGGUAC